GGGGGAUAACAUUUGGAAACAGAUGCUAAUACCGGAUAGAUCCAAGAACCCCAUGGUUCUUGGCUGAAAGAUGGCGUAAGCUAUCGCUUUUGGAUGGACCCGCGGCGUAUUAGCUAGUUGGUGAGGUAAUGGCUCACCAAGGCGAUGAUACGUAGCCGAACUGAGAGGUUGAUCGGCCACAUUGGGACUGAGACACGGCCCAAACUCCUACGGGAGGCAGCAGUAGGGAAUCUUCCACAAUGGACGCAAGUCUGAUGGAGUUAACGCCGCGUGAGUGAAGAAGGCUUUCGGGUCGUAAAACUCUGUUGUUGGAGAAGAAUGGUCGGCAGAGUAACUGUUGUCGGCGUGACGGUAUCCAACCAGAAAGCCACGGCUAACUACGUGCCAGCAGCCGCGGUAAUACGUAGGUGGCAAGCGUUAUCCGGAUUUAUUGGGCGUAAAGCGAGCGCAGGCGGUUUUUUAAGUCUGAUGUGAAAGCCCUCGGCUUAACCGAGGAAGCGCAUCGGAAACUGGGAAACUUGAGUGCAGAAGAGGACAGUGGAACUCCAUGUGUAGCGGUGAAAUGCGUAGAUAUAUGGAAGAACACCAGUGGCGAAGGCGGCUGUCUGGUCUGUAACUGACGCUGAGGCUCGAAAGCAUGGGUAGCGAACAGGAUUAGAUACCCUGGUAGUCCAUGCCGUAAACGAUGAAUGCUAGGUGUUGG
rnacentral:rRNA from 1 species